ensembl:snRNA U6 U6 spliceosomal RNA
GUGCUGCUUUGGCAGCACAUAUACUAAAAUUGGAAGGAUACAGAGAAGAUUAGCAUGGCCACCCCGCAAAAACAUAAUUUCAAAUUCAGACACAGGAUGUAAACCAUC